GGUGAUAUGGCUCAGUAGUAGAGCACUUGCCUCUCAUGUGUGAGGCCCUGGGCUUAAUCCCCAGCACCA
rnacentral:tRNA from 1 species